AAUCCACAUAUUUUUUUCAUUGACUCCCCCCCUCCCCACAAGUUGCUCAUCCUGCCUUUUCUUUCACUCAAUGGACUCGAUGAAUUAGCGUUGUACUUGAAAAAUGAAACCGUACUUUUCUACAAACACUUUUCAUAUUCUUUGACAAGUUUUAGGUAUUCGACACAGGAUUCCGUUUACUUGAGAAAAAAAAUUCCGAAAUUGUAAGUAAAUUCAUAAUAUGUAACCAAC
rnacentral:lncRNA from 1 species